rnacentral:misc_RNA from 1 species
UUGGAUUUUCACAAAUUUGCUAAUCCAUUAGCUGUGCAAAGUGUUUUUGAUUGGUUUUACUCAAAAUGGGUGUUGAUUAGGGUGGAGUAUCUUGCUCCUCCUCUUCAAUUUUUAGCUAAUGCUUGCAUUGUGCUUUUUCUUAUCCAAAGUGUGGAUAGAUUAGUACUAUGUUUAGGGUGUUUUUGGGUUAAAAUGAAGAAGAUUAAGCCAAUAGCAAAACAA